AGACCUUUAGUUUGAACCCCGAAACCAGGUGAGCUACCCCGAGACAGCCUAUAUUGAUUUAGGGCUAACCCGUCUCUGUGGCAAAAGAGUGGGAAGAGCUCCGGGUAGAAGUGACAGACCUACCGAACCUGGUGAUAGCUGGUUGCCUGAGAAGUGGAUAGAAGUUCAGCCUCGCACACCCCAAGCCAGAGAAUACACCGCUAAGGCACUCAGGGAAAUGUGGGAGAGUUAGUUAAAGGGGGUACAGCCCCUUUAACAAAGGAUACAACCUUUGCAGGAGGAUAAAGAUCAUAAUAUAUAAAACAUGCUGCUCUAGUGGGCCUAAAGGCAGCCACCUAAACAGAAAGCGUUAAAGCUCAGGCAGAAAGAAGUUUAUUAUACCGAUAAAAAAUCUUACUCCCCUAAUUAUAUCAGGCCAACCCAUGCCAACAUGGAAGAGAUUAUGCUAAAAUGAGUAACAAGAAGACCUGCUCUUCUCCCAGCACAAGUGUAAGCCAGAUCGGACUAACCACUGGAACUUAACGAACCCAACCCAAGAGGGUAGUGUGAAUAGUACAGACCCCAAGAAGAACUCACAACUAAACAAUCGUUAACCCCACACUGGAGUGCUAUUAUAAAGGAAAGACUAAAAGAGGGGGAAGGAACUCGGCAAACACAAGCCUCGCCUGUUUACCAAAAACAUCGCCUCCUGCAACUAUAUUGAGUAUAGGAGGUCCAGCCUGCCCAGUGACUACGGGUUCAACGGCCGCGGUAUUUUGACCGUGCAAAGGUAGCGCAAUCACUUGUCUCUUAAAUAGAGACCUGUAUGAAUGGCUAGACGAGGGCUUAACUGUCUCCCCCCUCCAGUCAGUGAAAUUGAUCUAUCCGUGCAGAAGCGGGUAUAAUUAUACAAGACGAGAAGACCCUUUGGAGCUUAAGGUACAAAAUCCAACCACGUUAAACGACCCCCUAAAGGGCAAGAACUUAGUGGCCAAUGAAGUUUUACCUUCGGUUGGGGCGACCACGGAGGAGAAAAAAGCCUCCGAGUGGACUGGGUUAAAACCCAAAGCUAAGAGAUACAUCUCUAAGCCGCAGAACAUCUGACCAAAAGUGAUCCGGCUAAAAAGCCGAUCAACGAACCAAGUUACCCUAGGGAUAACAGCGCAAUCCUCUCCCAGAGUCCAUAUCGACGAGGGGGUUUACGACCUCGAUGUUGGAUCAGGACAUCCUAAUGGUGCAGCCGCUAUUAAGGGU
rnacentral:rRNA from 1 species